CGGUGCAAGGAGGAGUAUACGAACUCUCCUCAUAGCACGCGGCCACCCUGAAACUCGGACACAAAAAUUUAACAAAAACCUUAAAAAGAACCAUAAUGGCGGUGCUGCAGAGCCUGAAGCGAGUGCGCACGGGGUGGCUGAAUAAACGGAGCAGCGCCAGACGGACUAUCACAUUCGGGAAGGAUAGUAAUAGUCAAGAUAACGUGAAAAUUGCACAAAGACUAUCCUCUAUUUCAGCAGAAGAUUGUAAAAGAAAGUGGAAUUUUGAUGUAAACAAAGGCGUGCCAAUCAGCGGGGGGCGAUUCUCCUGGGCCCCCCUCGCGCCCCCCGCUGACCUGACCCCGGUAGCCACGCCAGGUGACCUCAAGCUGACCUCCACCACCGCGGGUCACGGGUCAGAGGUCAAGGAAGGUCAAGAAGGAAGAGAAAAGAGAAUGAGAGAAGAGGGCAAGAGAAGAGAAGAGGAGGAGAGGAAGGAAGAAGGAAGAGCGAAGGAGGAGGGAAGAGAUAAGGAGGAAGAGACCGCCUCCUCCUCUUCCUCCUCCUCUGAAGCUGUAGACACCUCUUCCUCCUCCUCCUCCUCCUCCUCCACCUCCUCCUCCUCCUCCUCCUCCUCUCCCAGAUUGAGACAGACAAUUAUUACAGAUUUCACCAAAGAGAAGAAGAAGAGGAGAAUCAGACACGCCUCCUCCUCCUCCUCUUCCUCCUCCUCCUCCUCGUCCUCGCCACGGAAGAGGCCGGCACCCCCCUCUCGGAUCCCCCCCACUCACCCCCCUACAAGAAGAUGCUCCUCCAAAUAAGGGCAUAGAUGAUGAUGAUGAUGAUUAUUGUGUGUGUGUGUGUGUGUGUGUGUGUGUGUGUGUGUGUGUGUGUGUGUGUGUGUGUGUGUGUAACUGUCAACUAGUCAGUGCGUGUGUAUGUGCGUUAUAUAUAUGUAAUCUGAAUGUUUUUUUCCUUCAAUAAAUGUAAUUAAUUAAAAAAAAAACACCAUUGAUAAAAAAUAAUCCUAAAAUAAACUAGUCAAAUUAUUAUUAUUAUUAUUAUUAUUAUUAUUAUUAUUAUUAUUACUAUUAUUAUUAUUAUUAUUAUUAAGUCUAUUAUAACAUUCUCUCUCUCUCUCUCUCUCUCUCUCUCUCUCUCUCUCUCUCUCUCUCUCUCUCUCUCUCUCUCUCUCUCGUGUUUAAUUUUAAGGCAAAUUCUACCUCUUAAUAUUUUUUCUCGUGUUCUGAUUGGCUGAUGGACUUGUGACGUCAUUGUUUGUUUACAUUCAUCAGCUGAGUGCCGGUCCUGCUUCCCUUAUUAUUAUUAUUAUUAUUAUUAUUAUUAUUAUUAUUAUUAUUAUUAUUAUUAUUACUCUUGUGUUGUGAUUUCUCUCUCUCUCUCUCUCUCUCUCUCUCUCUCUCUCUCUCUCUCUCUCUCUCUCUCUCUCAAUCAAAA